CCGACUUGGCAGUCCUGCGUCGUGUAAAGGAACGAACAAGGAAUCACAAUGAACGUGUGAGAACAGUAUGAUGUGUGACCUACUUUUAUUUUGAACGGGAAAUAUUGCAGUGCAUCUCAUCAUGACUCCACGUGUAGGUACUUGUCGGAAGUGGUCAAAUGAGGCUAUGCUUACAUCCGCAGUAAAGGUAUGGAAGUAGGGCUGAGGCGAGCAGUAAACUAUCUGGUUGUAGAGCUCCUGCUCCCAAACCUGCCUCCCUGUCUGUGGAAAAACACACGACGCAGAGCACAAAUGAAUGUGUAACUUCCAUUUUCAGAGGGAGGCAGUGCACUGUUGGUCUUCUCCUGCUAUGUUUUACCGGGAAAAGAACCACGGGGACGGUGAGAGUGACGGCCACCAGCACAGCUAGACGCACACAGAGAACCAGGACAUCCAGGGGGUCCACUCGACUGUAGGUGUGUAACAGCUCUGACUCCA